UACGAGGGGGGCAAGCGUUGUUCGGAAUUAUUGGGCGUAAAGAGCUCGUAGGCGGUCUGUCGCGUCUGUUGUGAAAACUCGAGGCUCAACCUCGGGCUUGCAGUGGAUACGGGCAGACUAGAGUGCGGUAGGGGAGACUGGAAUUCCUGGUGUAGCGGUGGAAUGCGCAGAUAUCAGGAGGAACACCGAUGGCGAAGGCAGGUCUCUGGGCCGCAACUGACGCUGAGGAGCGAAAGCAUGGGGAGCGAACAGG
rnacentral:rRNA from 1 species